rnacentral:rRNA from 1 species
GAGGCCUGCCUGCCCAGUGACAAACGUUCAACGGCCGCGGUAUCCUGACCGUGCAAAGGUAGCAUAAUCACUUGUUCCUUAAUUGGGGACUGGAAUGAAUGGCCUCACGAGGAUUCAACUGUCUCUUACCUCUAAUCAGUGAAAUUGACCUCCCCGUGAAGAGGCGGGGAUACAACAACAAGACGAGAAGACCCUAUGGAGCUUUAAUUUUCUGUCUUAACUACUAAAUAACUAACCCUACUGGGAUAAAAAAAAAGAGAAAUAAGUCAGUAAUUUCGGUUGGGGUGACCUCGGAGAAUAAGACAACCUCCGAAUGAUUUUAACCAAGACAAACAAGUCAAAGUAUUAAAUAUCAAAUUGACCCAAUUCAUUUGAUCAACGGACCAAGUUACCCUAGGGAUAACAGCGCAAUCCUAUUCAAGAGUCCAUAUCGACAAUUAGGGUUUACGACCUCGAUGUUGGAUCAGGACAUCCCAAUGGUGCAGCAGCUAUUAAUGGUUCGUUUGUUCAACGAUUAAAGUCCUACGUGAUCUG